rnacentral:rRNA from 1 species
GACGAACGCUGGCGGCGCGCUUAACACAUGCAAGUCGAGCGAGAACCAGGGCUUCGGCCCUGGGGACAGCGGCGAACGGGUGAGUAACACGUGGGUAAUCUGCCCUCGGCACCGGAAUAGCCCGGGGAAACCCGGAUUAAUGCCGGAUGGCCCGCCCGCCUUUCGAGGCGGUCGGAAAGGUAGCUUUGGCCUCCGGCCGAGGAUGAGCCCGCGGCGGAUUAGCUUGUUGGUGAGGUAAUGGCUCACCAAGGCACCGAUCCGUAGCUGGUCUGAGAGGACGAUCAGCCACACUGGGACUGAGACACGGCCCAGACUCCUACGGGAGGCAGCAGUGGGGAAUCUUGCGCAAUGGGCGAAAGCCUGACGCAGCGACGCCGCGUGAGGGAAGAAGG